AAUUAAUAAGCUUAGAUAGCAUUUGUUUUGAAAACUUAAGAAAGAAUAAAAUUAUUCUAUUAAUUU
rnacentral:tRNA from 1 species